GCCAUCAUGGUAUAGUGGUUUGAACACUGGACUAUGACUCUGGAGACUAGGGUUCGAAUCUCCCUGCUCA
rnacentral:tRNA from 1 species